rnacentral:rRNA from 1 species
CGGACGGGUGAGUAAUACUUAGGAAUCUGCCCAAUAGUGGGGGACAACAUUCGGAAACGGAUGCUAAUACCGCAUACGCACUACGGUGGAAAGUGGGGGACCUUCGGGCCUCACGCUAUUGGAUGAGCCUAAGUCGGAUUAGCUUGUCGGUGAGGUAAAAGCUCACCAAGGCGACGAUCCGUAGCUGGUCUGAGAGGACGAUCAGCCACACUGGGACUGAGACACGGCCCAG